UUGAACAUAACAGCACCUCUUUCAACUUGCACCUUGAUAACUGGAAAAUUGUAGUUUGUAUCUAAGAAGUUUGGGUUUCUGGUAUUUCUGCACCUAGGCUGUGGAUUGGUUGAAACAAGCACUCCUGCCCUUUUGAUUAAGAUACAGGAUGACAUAAUAAAACAUCUGAGUCACCCAGGUGGUUUCUCAAGUUCAAAAAAACCCCAAAAGACCAACAAGAUAAAUGUUUUGGUUCUCUCCUUACUUAAAUGUUGUGACUAAUACACCUUUCAGACUUUCUUUGUUUAACUUGGGAGUAGGAAACACAGCAAAAACCUUAGGGUGUUGUGACAAAACAAUCAAAUUAGAUCCAUAUCAAAUUGAAAAAAAUUGUUCUUUUUAAUUAACAAAAUAUGUUGAAAGUUUUUGUCCUGGCAUGUCCUGAAGGCACAUGAGGCUAAGAUUGUGCAUAAAUUUAUGUAGUUUAAUGCCCACCCUUGGGGCACUAAACAUUGACAUUGGCACUUUUUUCCAAUUAAAUUUUGCUUCAUUCUUGUAUUUUUUUUUUCCAGAAAGGCUUUUCAGAGAGAGGUAGUUCUUGUUUUAAGCCUUCCUGCCUUACAACAGGGUGUAGAUUCCUUACCACUUUAAAUGUUUUGCAGGCUAAUUCUGCAUUAGAACUCCUAUCAGAAAAUGAAUUACGUUGCCCUGCUAUAGACUUUUCCAGGAAAAUAGAGAGGGAAUGUACCUUAAAAAUACCUAUAGGUUCCCAGCAGUAACAAAUUCCAAAAGCAUUAAUAACUUGUACCCAAAAGGCUGAACCAAAACCUCUUCACAUUACAGGAGAAGUGCAAUGUGUGGUCUCUGUUGUGCUGGGUUUUGUGCAGGAGCUAGUCAAGAGGAAAGACCCCAAUCUUAUUCUUACUCAAUACCCUCCAGAGCUUGUUUCAGUCCUUAGCAAUAUUGCUCACAGAUUGAAUGUGAUGGGUGAAUCAAUUCCUAGUGAUGAUACAUAAUUUAUUGGCUCAGAGGUUGCCAUCUUUCUAAUACAGAUGCUAUUCCUUUGCAUUUCUAUUUUUUUAUUAGAUGUUCCUCUUCACAUAUACUUUGAAACAUUAUUGAGGAGGGAUGACAUCAAAGGAGAACCUGCUGAUACCUCAUCUUUGGGAGGGGAGUUUAAAGUAUCUGCUGACAAUGUCAUUUCUCAACUUGAUACAUGUUUUUUCUGUCAAACAAUGGAGCAGUGGCUGUUUGUCUAAUUCCAAAUCUCAGUUGGUGUUAGGAGCACCUGACCAGCUGUCAGAAGGAAGAAAGAAAAGGCAUCUAAGUGAGACAGCAGUAGGUGAAAGCAGUGCUCAGUUUGAGACAUUCUCCUUCCAACAUGCAGAGCCCGAGUCCCACAACAGCUUUACUCCCACGAGCAGUGUCAGUGCCAUGUCUCGGCCCAGCCACAGCUCUUCAUCACAGCAUAACUCCAGGAGGAGGUUGAGAAGUGAGAGCUCCUAUGAUAUAGACAACAUUGUUAUUCCCAUGUCACUGGUGGCACCAUCAAAGCUGGAGAAACUACAGUACAAAGAAAUCCUUACUCCAAGCUGGAGAGUUGUUGAACUUCAGCCUUUAGAAAAAUCUCAAACAGAUGAAGAAGAGGUAGAAGAUCUGUCAGACAAAGCUUUUUCCCUGCGCCACACCAAGUACGAGGAACGGGAGCGUGCCAGGUGGUCGCUGUGGGAGCAGAGCCGCUGGCCCAGGAGGAACAGCAGGCAGGUCUUACAGCAAAAAUGCUGAUGGUCGACACAGCCAGGACUCGGUGCAGAAAGACCAUUGCACUGCUGACCCUGCUCCUGACCCAACCUCGGAAGCACACAGCUCUGUUUGUUCAGGGAUGGCACCACUCUGCAGGGAGAGUCAGGAAGAGAAGUCUGGGCUGUGGGAACUUCGAGUUUUUCCACUAAAAGAUGAAGAGGUAGAAGCUUUACUGUGCCAAGAUCAAGUAACGAAUCAGACUGAAAUGUCAAGUGCAACUUUCCCCAGCAACUCUCCCUGCACUCCAGGCACACCCACUGCUUUGCCAGACAAUGGCUGUCCACCAAGAAAACAAUCUACCCAAGAGUCAGAAGACUGCAAAAGCAUUUGCCUGGGAAGCAACAGUACAAGGAAACAAAGGUGACAGGGAAUAAUGUGGUUCAUUAAGAAAGCCAAUUAAUGUGGAGAGAAGUGUAAGGUAAAAUCUCUCGUUCACACAGCAUAUGACAGCACAAAUCAAAACCUUUAUGUUAGCUGCAUAUAAUAUAUUUUCUUUCUUGCUUUGUAACAGGCAGGAUAAAUCCCAAAGACAACACUUUCUUCUUCCUGAACCCCAAGAGAAAGUAAUUAUUUCAAGCUGGAAGUCUAAUAUUCCCAAUGUCGGGAGUGGGCGCACAUAAAUUGCUGGCACCAUUCACUUUCUGUUGUCAUAUUGCCACAUUUGUCAAUAAUCAUCCUUUUCUGUUUGUUUGUUUUCAAAUGCAUAUCUGGUUCUAGUGGACUCUGGUGCAGCAGGAGAUGCUGUCUACCUUAUCCAACAACUUCAACUGAACACAGAAAAACUACUUGAAAAUAGUGGGGAUAAGUGUUAGCUUCAGAUUAUUUUCCUGGGUGAUGUGACCAUGGGGCAAAAACCUGUCUUUCAAACCAAGGGAUCUGGAAGCCUUGCAUCUGGCUUAAGUCAUGUAGUCAGCUCUCAGUAGUGCUAGGGCAUGUUUCAUAUUGAAGUCCUCAAGCAAUAAAGUAGAAGUAGCCCACUGCAUUGCCACAGUCAAUGUAUCUGACACUCAGAAAGGCUUCAGGCCUGCAGGGAGGGAGAGACAGGAGGAAAGAAGGCUCGAGCCAAAUCAGUGACAGCCCAUGGAAUGUUGUGGCUUGGAUCAUCUUACUUCCUUAGUCCUUCAGUAGCUAAUGAGGCUCAUUAUACUUUGCUUUAAUAUGUUAAAGUCUUGUUCCAAUUUCUGUACAGUGCCUUUUAAGAGUCUCGUAAGUAUGCCAACAUUUGGUGACUAGCUGGAAAGGAAAAGAUGAUUAAUGUCUUGAAGAGCAAUAAAAAAAAAAGCCCCAAAGCUUUCCAUUGUGAUUCUGGGUAGAUUUUGCAUUUCCCAAUGCAUUCACAGUGAGAAAACAAAGGCAAGUUGUUUAAACUUGCAUCUAAAUAGCAUAGCUUGGAAUGUAUCUGCAAUCCCAAGAGGUAUUAACAAAGAUUAAACAUUGAAUGUAGGUAUAAUCCAUCAACAGGCAGUUUUUCUGUGUAGGACAGUUGAAGGCAAUUUAAUAGGAGUCUCUGUUUUUCGUGCAGUUUUCUUCCAUGUGUAAUACCUGGAAUGGCACUGGACAGAUGACCCAGUUUUAGUGUCAAUUUAUUUUUUUGGUCAAAAUGACAGGCAAUACACACUGGGCAUAUGAAAACAGUUCAGUAAAGUUUCAACACUACAGCCUAUUGCUACAUUGUAGUUUAUUGCACAUUCUGAUUAUUUUUUUAAACACUUUUUUAACACUGGUUUGUCUUAAACUUGAAUCUUGCCUCAAUGUCUGAUACAAUAAUCUUUGAUGCAAGGUUGGUUUUUUAAUUAAAAGUUAUUUCUAUAUA